CAGUAGCCGCGGUAAUACGAAGGGUGCAAGCGUUACUCGGAAUUACUGGGCGUAAAGCGUGCGUAGGUGGUGGUUUAAGUCCGUUGUGAAAGCCCUGGGCUCAACCUGGGAAUUGCAGUGGAUACUGGGUCACUAGAGUGUGGUAGAGGAUAGUGGAAUUUCCGGUGUAGCAGUGAAAUGCGUAGAGAUCGGAAGGAACAUCUGUGGCGAAGGCGACUAUCUGGGCCAACACUGACACUGAGGCACGAAAGCGUGGGGAGCAAUCAGGCUUAGAUACCCCGGUAGUCCCUGUCUCUUAUAC
rnacentral:rRNA from 1 species